rnacentral:tRNA from 1 species
GGACAGGUGGCAGAGUGGUCGAUUGUACCUGACUCGAAAUCAGGCGUCCCUUCACGGGGACCGGGGGUUCGAAUCCCUCCCUGUCCG